GAUGAACGCUGGCGGCGUGCCUAAUACAUGCAAGUCGAGCGAACAGACGAGGAGCUUGCUCCUCUGACGUUAGCGGCGGACGGGUGAGUAACACGUGGAUAACCUACCUAUAAGACUGGGAUAACUUCGGGAAACCGGAGCUAAUACCGGAUAAUAUAUUGAACCGCAUGGUUCAAUAGUGAAAGACGGUUUUGCUGUCACUUAUAGAUGGAUCCGCGCCGCAUUAGCUAGUUGGUAAGGUAACGGCUUACCAAGGCAACGAUGCGUAGCCGACCUGAGAGGGUGAUCGGCCACACUGGAACUGAGACACGGUCCCGACUCCUACGGGAGGCAGCAGUAGGGAAUCUUCCGCAAUGGGCGAAAGCCUGACGGAUCAACGCCGCGUGAGUGAUGAAGGUCUUCGGAUCGUAAAACUCUGUUAUUAGGGAAGAACAAAUGUGUAAGUAACUAUGCACGUCUUGACGGUACCUAAUCAGAAAGCCACGGCUAACUACGUG
rnacentral:rRNA from 1 species